UAGAUCGAUGAUGAGAUUGUCUUAUAAACCAAGGUUCAUGAUUAAUCCAAUUCCGCACAACAGAAGCCCUUUGACAAAGGAUCUCUA
ensembl:snoRNA